AUACGUAGGUGGCAAGCGUUGUCCGGAAUUAUUGGGCGUAAAGCGCGCGCAGGUGGUUCCUUAAGUCUGAUGUGAAAGCCCCCGGCUCAACCGGGGAGGGUCAUUGGAAACUGGGGAACUUGAGUGCAGAAGAGGAUAGUGGAAUUCCAAGUGUAGCGGUGAAAUGCGUAGAGAUUUGGAGGAACACCAGUGGCGAAGGCGACGGUCUGGUCUGUAACUGACACUGAGGCGCGAAAGCGGGGGGAGAAAACAGGAUUAGAUACCCUGGUAGUCCACGCCGUAAACGAUGAGUGCUAAGUGUUGGGGGGUUUCCGCCCCUCAGUGCUGCAGCUAACGCAUUAAGCACUCCGCCUGGGGAGUACGGUCGCAAGACUGAAACUCAAAUGAAUUGACGGGG
rnacentral:rRNA from 1 species